GUUAUUCCUAACUGUGCAAAGGUAGCAUAAUCAUUAGUCUUUUUAUUGAAGGCUGGUAUGAAUGGUUGAAUGAAAUAUUAACUGUUUCAAUUUAAUUUUUUAUUGAAAUUAAUUUUUUAGUUAAAAAGCUAAAAUGAGUUUAAAAGACGAGAAGACCCUAUAAAUCUUUAUAAUUNAUGUUUAUUAUUAANUAUUUAGAUAAAUUAAUUUUUAAUAACUUGAAUUAUUUUGUUGGGGUGACAUUAAAAUUUGAUUAACUUUUAGUAUAUNUUUUACACUAAUGAGUGAAUUAUNUGAUCCAUAUNNUAAUGAUUAAAAAUUUAAGUUACUUUAGGGAUAACAGCNGUAAUUUUUUUAGAGAGUUCAUAUUGAUAAAAAAGA
rnacentral:rRNA from 1 species